rnacentral:ncRNA from 1 species
AGAAGCCGGAUGAUGUGAAAGCAUCAAGUCCGGUUUCGUGGGAGGGGAAGAGGAUAUCCGUACAGGUAUCUUCGCCCCUACCCGAC